UUGUAAUGUCGGAAUAACUUCACAGUUAUUUCGGCGAUCACUCUUCUUCGCCUAUCAUGAUGAGAGCCCAUGGUAACUACAAAGCAUUACCAAGAUAGCCAACAACUCAUUUACCAAUACACCUUUCUUUAUCUUGUCCAGAACUACACUGACGGCACCUGCCUUCACAGCUUUCGCCUUGUUUUCUUAGAAGAUGCAUUCGUUGUAAUUGCAGACGCAACGUAUUUCAUAGCCCAGGGAUGUCCUUCCUCUAAAAGGUCU
rnacentral:lncRNA from 1 species